AGGAACUGCUGUCCUUGCAUGACUCCACCCCUUCCCCCAUUAUCCUCUAUGCACAACUUAAGGUAUAAAAACUACUUUGGAAAAUAAAGUGCGGGCCUUGUUCACCGAAACUUGGUCUCCCCAUGUCGCGCUCUCUCUCACUCUGGCUGAGUCUCCAUCUGGAGUGCGGAACCCACCAUGCUUACUAAUUAUGCCUGGGCUUCUAAGAUCCGACCGGGGAGGCCUCAGUGUCUCCUCUCCUUAAGGAGAAUGGAAGGACGCCUGCAGCCUAUUUGAGAAGUCGUGUCCAACACUUGCAACCCCGUGGACUGUAGCCUGCCAGCCUCCUCUGUCCGUGGGAUUCUUCAGGGAAGAAGGCUGGAGUGGGUGGCCAUUUCCUUCUCCAGGGGAUCUUUCCAACUCAGGAAUUGAACCCAAGUCUCCUGCAUUGCAGGCAGAUUCUUUACCGACUGAACUAUGAGGGAAGCCCUUUUUACCUAUGUGCCUUUAAAAAUUUUUUAGUCAUAGCUACUGCCGUUGAACAUGUUGGCAUACGGAUUUGGUGGCAUGCACUUAAUGUUUUACAUUGAAAAUAUAAACAGGCUUUUAAAGAAAACUCCAAAUGUUUUUUUAUACUAGAUGCUACCCCUGUUUAUGUGCUUAUUUCCAAUGUUUAUUUCUUCAUAAAUAAUUUUGUAGUGUGUUGAAUAACAACCGUUGUAGCCUGGCUACAAAGUCAUUGUUUCUGUAGAUGAUACGAGCUAGAUGAUUU
ensembl:lncRNA